UUGAAAUAAACCUGACGGGUUGUCGCUGGUUCUCCAGGGAGCAUGUGCACACCUUGUCAUCUUUAUGUCUCCACCUGUGCACUUUUUGUAGACCCAUCAAGGUCUAUGUUGCUUCAUCUACUCCUGAAUAAUAAUAGAAUGUUGCUUCUUUUUGAAAUAUAAUA
rnacentral:misc_RNA from 1 species